CACAGUCCACAGCGACACGCUCUCAUUAAGGGUUAAUGUAUUAAACCAGAGUCCCCCCUGUCGGUCGUUGAUACCAUGCUCCUACCUGAUUAGCUGAAUAGGUGAUUCAGAUGAGACGGUACAGGAAUGGAGAAACUAUGAGGGAUGACUGAGGGGUGCAAGGUUAAAUAACUAUGUGGGAUGUCUGAGGGGUGCAGAGACAGUCUGGGAUAUUAAACAGAACACCCUGAUAGGAUAUUGUAUACAGUGGCUCAUGCAGGAGUCUGAUGGUAGCAGAGACAGAACACCCUGAUAGGUUCUUGUAUACAGUGGCUCAUGCAGGAGUCUGAUGGUAGCAGAGACAGUCUGGGAUAUUAAAUAGAACACCCUGAUAGGUUAUUGUAUACAGUGGCUCAUGCAGGAGUCUGAUGGUAGCAGAGACAGAACACCCUGAUAGGUUGUUGUAUACAGUGGCUCAUUCAGAAGUCCAAUGGUAGCAGAGACAGAACACCCUGAUAGGUUGUUGUAUACAGUGGCUCAUGCAGGAGUCUGAUGGUAGCAGAGACAGAACACCCUGAUAGGUUAUUGUAUACAGUGGCUCAUUCAGGAGUCUGAUGGUAGCAGAGACAGAACACCCUGAUAGGUUAUUGUAUACAGUGGCUCAUUCAGGAGUCUAAUGGUAGCAGAGACAGAACACCCUGAUAGGUUCUUGUAUACAGUGGCUCAUGCAGGAGUCUGAUGGUAGCAGAGACAGAACACCCUGAUAGGUUGUUGUAUACAGUGGCUCAUUCAGGAGUCUGAUGGUAGCAGAGACAGUCUGGGAUAUUAAAUAGAACACCCUGAUAGGUUAUUGUAUACAGUGGCUCAUGCAGGAGUCUGAUGGUAGCAGAGACAGUCUGGGAUAUUAAAUAGAACACCCUGAUAGGUUAUUGUAUACAGUGGCUCAUGCAGGAGUCGGUCCUUACACUCUAGAGGCCUUUUUUCAAGUCCUUGCUUCCCCCUCUGUAUUCCUAGAACAAUAAGCAUUCAUCUAUUGUGAUCACAGCUACCCACCUCUGUCUUCUCCUCCUCCUCUUCUCCUCCUCCUCUUCUUCUCCUCUCUUCUUCUCCUCUCUCUUCUCCUCCUCUCUCUUCUCCUCUCUCUUCUCCUCUUCUUCUCAUCCUCUAUAAUGAUGAAGUGCUCUGACAGACAGAGCUGCUGUCUUGAUAUAUCAUUCAUCACUGUGGACUGUGCUGGAGUAUGACUGCUAGUAGUUCUCUAGCCUGGCAGAGACACAGUGAGGGAAGCAGGAGUAUGGCUGCUAGUAGUUCUCUGGCCUGGCAGACACAGUGAGGUUGAAGCAGGAGUAUGGCUGCUAGUAGUUCUCUGGCCUGGCAGAGACACAGUGAGGGAAGCAGGAGUAUGGCUGCUAGUAGUUCUCUGGCCUGGCAGACACAGUGAGGGAAGCAGGAGUAUGGCUGCUAGUAGUUCUCUGGCCUGGCAGACACACAGUGGGGAAGCAGGAGUAUGGCUGCUAGUAGUUCUCUGGCCUGGCAGACACACAGUGAGGGAAGCAGGAGUAUGGCUGCUAGUAGUUCUCUGGCCUGGCAGACACACAGUGGGGGAAGCAGGAGUAUGGCUGCUAGUAGUUCUCUGGCCUGGCAGAGACACAGUGAGGGAAGCAGGAGUAUGGCUGCUAGUAGUUCUCUGGCCUGGCAGACACACAGUGAGGGAAGCAGGAGUAUGGCUGCUAGUAGUUCUCUGGCA